GCUCCCAUGGCGUAGUGGUCACUGCGCUCGCCUUGCACGCGGGAGACCCGGGUUCGACUCCCGUCGGGGUA
rfam:Asian citrus Psyllid, Diaphorina citri - Florida Strain, whole genome shotgun sequence.